CUGGGUUUGACAUGCACGGAAAUCCAUCAGAGAUGGUGGGUCCUUCGGGGUCGUGCACAGGUGGUGCAUGGCUGUCGUCAGCUCGUGUCGUGAGAUGUUGGGUUAAGUCCCGCAACGAGCGCAACCCUCGUCCCAUGUUGCCAGCAUUUAGUUGGGGACUCAUGGGAGACUGCCGGGGUCAACUCGGAGGAAGGUGGGGAUGACGUCAAGUCAUCAUGCCUCUUAUGUCCAGGGCUUCACGCAUGCUACAAUGGCCGGUACAAACCGUUGCGAGCCCGUGAGGGGGAGCGAAUCGGAAAAAGCCGGUCUCAGUUCGGAUCGGGGUCUGCAACUCGACCCCGUGAAGUCGGAGUCGCUAGUAAUCGCAGAUCAGCAAUGCUGCGGUGAAUA
rnacentral:rRNA from 1 species